GACGAACGCUGGCGGCGUGCUUAACACAUGCAAGUCGAACGAAGUGGCGAACGGGUGAGUAACGCGUAAUCAACCUGCCCUUCAGAGGGGGACAACAGUUGGAAACGACUGCUACUACCGCAUACUGAAGGAGGGGAUUGCGUCUGAUUAGCUAGUUGGAGGGGUAACGGCCCACCAAGGCGAUGAUCCGUAGCUGGUUUGAGAGGACGACGAUCCACACUGGAACUGAGACACGGCCCAGACUCCAACGGGAGGCAGCGUUGGGGAAUAUUGGACAAUGGGCGAAAGCCUGAUCCAGCCAUGCCGCGUGUGUGAAGAAGGUCUUCGGAUUGUAAAGCACUUUAAGUUGGGAGGCGUUACCAACAGAAUAAGCACCGGCUAACUUCGUGCCAGCAGCCGCGGUAAUAC
rnacentral:rRNA from 1 species